rnacentral:rRNA from 1 species
GAUGAACGCUGGCGGCGUGCCUAAUACAUGCAAGUCGAGCGAACAGACGAGGAGCUUGCUCCUCUGACGUUAGCGGCGGACGGGUGAGUAACACGUGGAUAACCUACCUAUAAGACUGGGAUAACUUCGGGAAACCGGAGCUAAUACCGGAUAAUAUAUUGAACCGCAUGGUUCAAUAGUGAAAGGCGGUUUUGCUGUCACUUAUAGAUGGAUCCGCGCCGCAUUAGCUAGUUGGUAAGGUAACGGCUUACCAAGGCAACGAUGCGUAGCCGACCUGAGAGGGUGAUCGGCCACACUGGAACUGAGACACGGUCCAGACUCCUACGGGAGGCAGCAGUAGGGAAUCUUCCGCAAUGGGCGAAAGCCUGACGGAGCAACGCCGCGUGAGUGAUGAAGGUCUUCGGAUCGUAAAACUCUGUUAUUAGGGAAGAACAAAUGUGUAAGUAACUAUGCACGUCUUGACGGUACCUAAUCAGAAAGCAACGGCUAACUACGUG